CAGCCGCCGCGGUAAUACGGAGGGAGCUAGCGUUGUUCGGAAUUACUGGGCGUAAAGCGCACGUAGGCGACUUUGUAAGUCAGAGGUGAAAGCCUGGAGCUCAACUCCAGAACUGCCUUUGAGACUGCAUCGCUUGAAUCCAGGAGAGGUGAGUGGAAUUCCGAGUGUAGAGGUGAAAUUCGCAGAUAUUCGGAAGAACACCAGUGGCGAAGGCGGCUCACUGGACUGGUAUUGACGCUGAGGUGCGAAAGCGUGGGGAGCAAACAGGAUUAGAUACCCCUGUAGUCCCUGUCUCUUAUAC
rnacentral:rRNA from 1 species